GAUUAUUAAGCUCUGAAUUGGGAGUGGAAGAGUCUGUGUAUGUUGGGGUUCUUUCUCUCCUUCCUUCCUAUGGAUCUUCAUGUCGUCUCUCUUAAUUCUGGGAUGAAGAAUCGAAAACAAGACGAACAACAUGUAACCUUUCCUUUUCUUUCAUUUUUUUUUCUAAUUUUUUAACUGUUUUUCUCUUGAUCGUGAUUUUUCAGGGUUUUGUAUUCGACCAACUUCACUACUUUGAUUCUUUGUUUGUUUGAUUUUCUUCUCUUCGUGUUUUGAUAUCUUGAUCAUUUGAUGUUAUGUUAAAUAUAUAGCUAUAUUUUUGAAGCAACAACUAACUACAUCUCUUGAGAAAGUAAGAUUUUAGGCUUCUACGUGAUAAUCUAGAGCUAUACUUUUGAAGCAACAACUAACUGCAUAUUUUGAGAAAGUUACUCCAUCUCUUAAAGUGUGUAUUAAGGUAUCAUGUUGUACUCUGAAACUCUGUAAUUAUUUCUAAUAUAUAAACUAUGAACUAUUAGUGUUCAUGAUGGAAAAUCAUUUGGUAGUCUAUGAGGCAAUAUGGUAAUAAUUUAUGUCAUGAAUUUCCUUUUUUUAUUCCUGUCAGGUUGUUGUUCUCAAAGAUAGUCCAAGAGGGACACAUUUUCGUUGCGCUGGACCAUAGAACAUGG
rnacentral:lncRNA from 1 species